rnacentral:rRNA from 1 species
UACGAGGGGGCGAGCGUUGUUCGGAAUUAUUGGGCGUAAAGGGUGCGUAGGCGGUUUGGUAAGUCUGAUGUGAAAUCUAUGGGCUCAACUCAUAGUCUGCAUCGGAAACUGCCGGGCUUGAGUGUGGAGAGGUGAGUGGAAUUCCUGGUGUAGCGGUGAAAUGCGUAGAUAUCAGGAGGAACACCUGUGGCGAAAGCGGCUCACUGGACCAUAACUGACGCUGAUGCACGAAAGCUAGGGAGCAAACAGG